UACAUGUAUGUAUGUUGUGAAAAAACUAUUUUUGUAUUUCAAUUUUUAAUUGAGGUAGAACAUCGAUAGUGCUGCCUGUUGAUAAAGUAGUAUAACGUUUAACUUUACCAACCGGAUAAGUUCAGAAGUUUAUUGACUAUACUUGACUGUAUCGAUGUUUGGAAAAAAUAGCGUCUUAAAAGUUUUGUAUGCAAUCUGAUAAAACGCAUAAUUAAGGGAGACGUAUGGCUGCAUUCCGGACGUGAUAUUAACCUUAAUUUUGCGGUAUUUUGCUCGAAAUUAUAAAAACGAGCAGUAUGGCUAAAAUUGUUGAAUCCUUGAAGAGAUUGAGCGUUGAACAUAGUACGAGAAAACCCGAUGACAACAAAAAUGUUAAAAGAAAAAGCGAAUUAGUAUCGUGUUUAGAAGAAGCAGUAUCUCUUGAUCACAAUUAUAUUCUUGCUAUCUGUGGAACACAAAGUGAUCCAGAAUUUAGGAUUGGUACAGCUUUGUCUGAUCAUACAUGUAUAAUAUAUUCUGUUGGGGAAAGUGUAACUCAGACCAUUACUUUAAGUCACAGUAAAGCACCUAUUGUUGGGAUUCGGUUUAGUCCAACUUCUAGAAAUAUUUUUUAUAUAGCAACAAAUGAUGGACAAAUUACAGCAUGCGAUUUGCGUGCUAAAGGAAAGGUUAUUGCAGAGUUUAAAGAUAGUACAGAAGAUGGAAAAAUGAAACCUCUUUGUAGUUUUGAUAUGAGCUGUGAUGAAAGGCUUAUAGCAGGUGGUACUGAACAUAUUGGAGGGGAUGCAUUUAUUUUAUUUUGGGAUAUAAGACAUUCUAAUUCAAAAUUAGAUGAUAAAAAUAAUCUUCUUGGUGGGUACUGGGAAUCUCACAUGGAAGAUGUGACUUCUUUGGCAUUUCAUUCUAGUAAACAGGAUAUCUUAGCAUCUGGUAGUACAGAUGGAUUGAUUAAUGUCUUUGAUCUUACACAGCCAUCAGAAGAUUCUGCCCUAACUUAUUCCUUGAACACUGAAUCAUCCGUGGAUAGGAUAGGCUGGUUGAAUGAUGAUAACCUUUGGUGCACAACUCAUACACAUUCACUACAACUUUGGGAUUGUGAUGGAGCAACUCCGUAUGCUAAAUUUGAACGUGCUAAUUUAGCAAUUUCACAGAAUGAUGAUCCAGAUAACUGUUAUGUAGUCAGGUGUCAUGCUUCAAAUGCACUUGAACAACCAUUCUUACUAGCAGGUUCCAGUAAUAUCAAAGGGGAAAAUUUAAGAUGUUUGAAUAUCAUAAAUGACCGAUUAGAAGUGUCUCAUAACAUGGUGGGAAAUAAACAAAUUGUACGCGAUAGUUGGUUACAUGAAAAGAGUGGUUCGUUAAUAACAGUAGGCGAAGGAGCACUUAUAAAUAUUUGGAGGCAAACGGAAACGAAUAUUCAACAAAAUUCUAGCCAUAAACUGGUGGCGAAAAUUGGUACUGGCAAAGGACGCGAACGCCAGCAUAGGACUAAGCCAUAUUAAAUAAAAAAUGAUAGGAUAAAAAUUUGUAAAUGCAAAAAGAAUUUUUGUAAGUAAAUAUAAUAAACAGAAGAGAAAUAUCACGUAACAUUAACAUAAUCGUACAUUUCCCUCACGUUCUUCUUUAUUACAAUAACAGUUGUAUGUACAUUUAUAAUAAAUAGAUAUUAUUUCUUUAUGUGAUUAAUGAUUUAACGUAUCAAUCGAAAAAUGUAGCACAUGUGUAUAUAAACGUUAAGGAAUGUAAAUCACAUAUCAGUGUGUAUAUAUUUAUAUAUAGAAUUGAAACAGGAAGAAAAAUACUCGUAAAUACUUGUUUAGUUCUGUCAAGUAAUAGAUCAACUUCAGUGGGAUCGUCUUACGGAAAAAUUAUUUCAUUUCUUAACGAUUUAUUAAAAUAGGAGCAUAUGACGUGCAUUUGUUGCAAAAUAGACGCAUUUAGCGUUAUAGCGAGUAAACGAUAAUUUUGACACAGCAUUCAAGUAAAUAAUAUGAAGUUGUAGUUACUCUUCAACCCAUUAGCGAGGGCACAGUGCGGUAAAAUAAAUCAGAAGGCAGUAAUAUUUUUGAAAGCUACUGAACAAUUGUUUGAUUAUAAAGGCAAUAUAAUCAGAAAGGAGUAGUAAAAAGGUGAUCUUAUGGAAUGAAAGUUUGAAGGAAUAAUGAAGAGUAUUUAACACUUUCAUUGUUACCUAAAAUGCAUGAAUCCCCUAUCAAGAGUUUCAUAAUUAAUUGCAUGCACAGCAGACCUACUUACCAGAUUAUGAAUAACUUUGUUAAGUAUCUAUAAGAAUGUCUAAUAUGCACAGUUAAGUAUUCUGUCUAAUACAAUGAGAGUGUUAAGUACAAAGUAUUGAAUUGUCGUAACUGCAGAGGCACAGAGCACCACGCUAUAGAUUGCAGAUUAUAUGACUGAAGUACCAAAUGUUUUUAGCUUUAUGAAUUGGAUGGUAAGAAAUACAUAGUUAUGUAGUAUGGUACCUCUGACCUCUAUAGCGAAUGAACAUAUGUAUAGUGACUUUGGUUGGAUGAGUCGGG
rnacentral:misc_RNA from 1 species